AGUCGAGGGGCAGCAUGGUCUUAGCUUGCUAAGGCCGAUGGCGACCGGCGCACGGGUGAGUAACACGUAUCCAACCUGCCGUCUACUCUUGGACAGCCUUCUGAAAGGAAGAUUAAUACAAGAUGGCAUCAUGAGUCCGCAUGUUCACAUGAUUAAAGGUAUUCCGGUAGACGAUGGGGAUGCGUUCCAUUAGAUAGUAGGCGGGGUAACGGCCCACCUAGUCUUCGAUGGAUAGGGGUUCUGAGAGGAAGGUCCCCCACAUUGGAACUGAGACACGGUCCAAACUCCUACGGGAGGCAGCAGUGAGGAAUAUUGGUCAAUGGGCGAGAGCCUGAACCAGCCAAGUAGCGUGAAGGAUGACUGCCCUAUGGGUUGUAAACUUCUUUUAUAAAGGAAUAAAGUCGGGUAUGGAUACCCGUUUGCAUGUACUUUAUGAAUAAGGAUCGGCUAACUCCGUGCCAGCAGCCGCGGUAAUACGGAGGAUCCGAGCGUUAUCCGGAUUUAUUGGGUUUAAAGGGAGCGUAGAUGGAUGUUUAAGUCAGUUGUGAAAGUUUGCGGCUCAACCGUAAAAUUGCAGUUGAUACUGGAUAUCUUGAGUGCAGUUGAGGCAGGCGGAAUUCGUGGUGUAGCGGUGAAAUGCUUAGAUAUCACGAAGAACUCCGAUUGCGAAGGCAGCCUGCUAAGCUGCAACUGACAUUGAGGCUCGAAAGUGUGGGUAUCAAACAGGAUUAGAUACCCUGGUAGUCCACACGGUAAACGAUGAAUACUCGCUGUUUGCGAUAUACUGCAAGCGGCCAAGCGAAAGCGUUAAGUAUUCCACCUGGGGAGUACGCCGGCAACGGUGAAACUCAAAGGAAUUGACGGGGGGCCGCACA
rnacentral:rRNA from 1 species